CUCCCAAACGUGUCCGAUUCUCCCAAACGUGUCUUUUCUCCCUAAACGUGUCCGAAAUGUACAAUAUUUUCCAAACGUGUCCGAUAAUUGUUAUUCGCCAAAACGUGUCCAAUAUUUAACGCCAAAACGUUACACGUCUUUUAGCGCUUUUACAUGUAUCUCUUAAAUAAAAUCGCUGAUAACGUUUACGGCAAUUCUAUGAUGGGAGAUACACGUGAUGAAGAUGUCAUUUAUCA
rnacentral:lncRNA from 1 species